rnacentral:lncRNA from 1 species
AAGGUUGGUGUACAAUCAUUUUCUUAGGAUAGAUGUAUCUUGAGUCUACAGUGUGGAGACAUCAGAGCGAGAGUACAUGUAUUCAUUGAGAAUGAGAGUAUUGAGCAUGACCAUCUCGAGUAGUCAUAAGGAAGUCUAUCUUCUCGUCGAUGACUAGCUCGAUGCUGCAGCAGUGUGUCUAGUUCUUCGACCUGAGGUACAUCGAUAGUUCACCUUGAGUGUGUUAUAAUUUGACUAUACCAUAACUCGAUCUCC